GCUGGGGGUCCCUUGGUUGGAGGAGGCUCGGUGCUGGGGGUCCCUUGGUUGGAGGAGGCUCGGCGCUGGGGGUCCCUUGGUUGGAGGAGGCUCGGCGCUGGGGGUCCCUUGGUUGGAGGAGGCUUGGCGCUGGGGGUCCCGGGCUUAGAUGGAGGCUCGGCGCUGGGGGUCCCUUGGUUGGAGGAGGCUCAGCUGGGGGUCCCUUGGUUGGAGGAGGCUCGGUGCUGGGGUCCCUUGGUUGGAGGCUGGGGUCCCUUGGUUGGAGGAGGCUCGGUGCUGGGGGUCCCUUGGUUGGAGGCUGGGGCUGGGGGGUCCCUUGGUUGGGGGUCCCUUGGUUGGAGGAGGCUCGGUGCUGGGGUCCCUUGGUUGGAGGCUGGGGAUCCUUUGGUUGGAGGAGGCUCGGUGCUGGGGGUCCCUUGGUUGGAGGAGGCUCGGUGCUGGGGGUCCUGCAGAAGUUGGAGCUGCUCUAUGAGAGACUUUCAGAAUUCUUUCCUGGGAGUUCGUUCAUUGUAACUCGGUGUUCGAUCAGAUUCUUUUUGCUAUCACUAUGUGUUUCCCCUCGCAGCUCGGCGAAAUGAUUGUGCAGGGGGCGGGUAGGGGCAUG